UGGGGAAUAUUGGACAAUGGGCGAAAGCCUGAUCCAGCCAUGCCGCGUGUGUGAAGAAGGUCUUCGGGUUGUAAAGCACUUUAAGUUGGGAGGAAGGGUUGUAGAUUAAUACUCUGCAAUUUUGACGUUACCGACAGAAUAAGCACCGGCUAACUCUGUGCCGG
rnacentral:rRNA from 1 species